CUCUUAUGGAGAGUGGCGGAGGGACUGGCCCAAUGAUGCCCGGCAACCGGCCUUAAUGGUUAUGGUGCCAAUUCCUGCAGCAAUUUGCUGAGAAAUGAGAG
rnacentral:ncRNA from 1 species